rnacentral:rRNA from 1 species
AACGAACGCUGGCGGCAUGCCUAACACAUGCAAGUCGAACGAGAUCUUCGGGUCUAGUGGCGCACGGGUGCGUAACGCGUGGGAAUCUGCCCUUUGGUUCGGAAUAACAGUUGGAAACGACUGCUAAUACCGGAUGAUGACGAAAGUCCAAAGAUUUAUCGCCGGAGGAUGAGCCCGCGUAGGAUUAGCUGGUUGGUGUGGUAAAGGCGCACCAAGGCGACGAUCCUUAGCUGGUCUGAGAGGAUGAUCAGCCACACUGGGACUGAGACACGGCCCAGACUCCUACGGGAGGCAGCAGUGGGGAAUAUUGGACAAUGGGCGAAAGCCUGAUCCAGCAAUGCCGCGUGAGUGAUGAAGGCCUUAGGGUUGUAAAGCUCUUUUACCCGGGAUGAUAGUGACAGUACCGGGAGAAUAAGCUCCGGCUAACUCCGUGCCAGCCGCCGCCGUAA